rnacentral:rRNA from 1 species
UACGUAGGGCGCAAGCGUUGUCCGGAAUUAUUGGGCGUAAAGAGCUCGUAGGCGGUCUGUCGCGUCUGCUGUGAAAUUUCGGGGCUCAACCCCGAACUUGCAGUGGGUACGGGCAGACUAGAGUGUGGUAGGGGAGACUGGAAUUCCUGGUGUAGCGGUGAAAUACGUAGAUAUCUGGAGGAACACCGGUGGCGAAGGCGGCUAACUGGCCCCAACAUUGACGCUGAGACCCGAAAGCAUGGGGAUCAAACAGG